rnacentral:rRNA from 1 species
GGACUACAAGGGUUUCUAAUCCUGUUUGAUCCCCGCACUUUCGAGUCUCAGUGUCAAUGUUGGGCCAGAUCGCCGCCUUCGCCACCGGUGUUCCUCCAGAUAUCUACGUAUUUCACCACUACACCUGGAAUUCCACGAUCCUCUCCCACAUUCAAGCUUCGCAGUAUCAAAAGCACUUCCUGGGUUAGGCCCAGGGCUUUCACUCCUGACUUACAAAGCCACCUACACUCGCUUUACGCCCAAUGAUUCCGAGCAACGCUUGGACCCCUCGUCUUACCGCGGCUGCUGGCAC